GCCUCUAAUUACUGACUGUACAAAAUGUUCUUUCUUUCCUAAAUCACGUUCCAUUUCUUUUUUUGAAAAGAAUGUUUGCAAAUCGGAAGCAUACUGCUUAAUAUUUUCUAACCCAGCUUGAAAAUCUGCAAUCUCUUUUUCGUGCUUCUCAACUACGUUCAGUAACUGACGAAUCUUCUUACUCUCUGUCUCCUCUGCUGUAUCAAGAUCUCUCAGCAGUGUCUGAUGUAGUUGGUCUAGGUGAUUAUUGAUCGAGGUUUAAGCUUUUUAGAUUUCUAUUGCAAUGCUCUUCUU
rnacentral:lncRNA from 1 species